UCAGAGGUUUUAAUGAUGCCAGUCACGCCCCCCUCCCUGCUCGUCACACCGACAACGUUUGGAUGGAACAAAGAGGACAAAAUAAGAAAAACCCAGAGAAUAUAUUCUCCCGCUGUUUGAUGUGUACGGUCGCGGACAACCUCGAUAUCUGUCUUGCUCUUAAAAGAGUGGAUUCCUUGCAGUUAUGAAGCCAAUUUCCAGACAUGAAACUCUUGUUUGUGCAGCCCACCUCCUUCCCAUCUCCAGCUCACAGACUCCUCAGUCAGAGUUCCAUCCAAGCCUCAGCCUUCAUCUGUUACUGGACUCUGAAGAUUCUAAGAAACUUUCAAAAGUAUUCAUUCUGUGCUGUGACAAAUUCUAUAGCCUGUUCAAAUUGUUUUUCAUCAGUGUUAAUAUUGUACUAAUAUAUCAGAAGCUGUGUAUAAACCUCUUUGUGCAUAGAAUGUGAGCUUAGAGAAUGAUUUAUAUAUCAUGUCUAUGUUAGACCUAAAAAAA